GAAGUGGGACUGGGGAAACGCUGCCAUCACUAGGCACGUGUAGGAAUAACAGGCCAACUAGGUAGGGGGGAAGUGAUUGGCAACUAAUCACCAGACACUGAUGAAUUAGGUAAUUGAUAGAUUAGUUAAUUGGCAUGUCUAUUUAUACAUCGGGGCCUUUACGUGCGGACUGUUUACUUCCGGUAGUAAGGAGCAGAGAAUCAGAACGCUGGUGCUGCAGUGUGUCGGGUCCUAGGUUUGCGAGGCGACAUUAUAAAUCAAGAGCCUGAACCGAGUCAGCAUUCCGUCUGGGAACGAGGUGUAGGUGGCGAUCACAGCGGG